rnacentral:rRNA from 1 species
UACGGAGGGGGCUAGCGUUGUUCGGAAUUACUGGGCGUAAAGCGCGCGUAGGCGGACCUGCAAGUCGGGGGUGAAAGCCCGAGGCUCAACCUCGGAACUGCCUUCGAUACUGCGGGUCUCGAGUCCGGGAGAGGUGUGUGGAAUUCCUAGUGUAGAGGUGAAAUGCGCAGAUAUCAGGAGGAACACCGAUGGCGAAGGCAGCUCGCUGGGACGGUACUGACGCUGAGACGCGAAAGCGUGGGGAGCAAACGGG